CCCCCCUUCCAAAGUCCUCCCUCUCCCUGGUUGGUUUCCACAGCUGUGGUGAGUGAGGGGCAGAUGACCGGAGAAUUGGCCCCUGGGAGAGCGCUGAGCCAUCCUGGUGCUAUUAGGCUCGUGGCUAAUAAUAGGUGUUUCAGACCAGGGGAAGAUCAAUCAGGGGGAAUCAUGGGGAAUGUUCGGAGCAGCGCUUUUUACACAUCGGCCCAGAUGGAUGAAAUUACACUUGUCAGUUUUUAGUUGCAUUACUCCCAAAUUGGUUGUCUACUCUUUUUUCCCCCCCUCUUUCUCUCUCUCUCUCUCUCUCUCCCUCCCUCGCUCUCUCUUCUCUUCUCUCCUUCUCUCGCGUUGCCCUCAUUCAUGUGUCAGUGGCCCGCUAAAGGGAUUCAAUGGUGAAAUCCCUGUCAUUUUUGUCUUUUUGGUGUUUAGCCCUCAGCCAGCGACUGUGGCCUGCAGAUGCACUUUGAAGAAAUCCGUUUCAGGUCUGGUCUCAUGACUCGGGCAUUUGACAUGUUGAGGACAGGUGUGCGGGUGUCUAUUUUGCUAUAUUGGUGGGUUUAUACUGUUGACCGUGUAAUAAAGGAUAAGAAUUGUGA